UAAGAUUUCAAGUUUCUCUGUGCAAAAGUAAAUGAGAAAAAUCUCAAAGAGAUGCCAGCAGUGCUACACAAUUGUCUGCCCACAGCUUCUGUUUGGUCAGGCUUGAGGCAAUGAGCAUCCUAUGGAAAUAGAAACCAAGUGAUCCAAUGUGUAAAAAUCUGCCUUGGUCUGAGUGAACUGGCUUGAACUUUGUCAGGAAAAGAAAGACUCGUGAGGUCUUGUGCAACCCACGUUUCUGUGCUCUUCAGUAAAAAUGCCUCACAACAUCUAAUGACAUAACGAUCCACGUCAAGACCAGGACCUUCCGACGACCUCCUCCACCACGUGUGAGCUCAGCUGUACCUGGCACAGGCAUCUUCCCUGCAGCUGGGCAGCUCAGAGAGGGAUCUGUUACCUUUGACAUUCCCCAGCAGUGCUGCAGGUCACAGGCGCUGAGAGUCACCAGCUUUCCUGGAACAGAUCUCCACCCCAAACUCCACCAAUUGAGUCACAUUCACAGCUUUCUGGCAGGUCUGACUCUCCCAGGCUGACCUGUAGGUUGAAAUACUUUUCCCAGCCAGAAUUUCUCAUUUGAUCUUCUGAGCAGAGAGCAUCAGUUUUCAGCAUAAAUUAAUGUUGCUCAGCAAGACCAAAAAAAAAAAGCAACCUGCUCUCCAGCAGGAAAAAAACAGACCUGCUCAGCACCUGCCAGCCACCCCUUAGAGUUAGAUAGAAUCCCCCGCUCCAGCUUGCGCUGAAACUAUCAGCAGCUGAUAGAUUACAGUUGUCUCUAAACCUGCAGGCUGGGUUUAGUGGCUUUCCUUCAUUUAAAGAGUUCAGCCAUUGACUGCAGCAACAAGUCUGACGAAGGAGAAAAUAGCAAGCCAUUAGCUGCCUGAGCAGAGACUUCCUGCCCGGAGGACAUGGGGAGAAGGAACGGCUCUAAGUGGAUCCUCUGCAGCAGAAAAUCUCGUUUAGAAUAAUAACCCAAAGUUGUGUCUCCUGAGAGGCUGUGCAUAUGCUGGAGGUCUUUGCUGCACCUUCAUCAGCCUUUCUACAUCCUUGAAACUAUACACACAGCUGGGAUGGGAUGUACAUGGCAGAGUAUCAUCUCUGCACCUGUGGCCCUGGGCUCCUCAGAGUGAUGGGAGAAAGGAACAGUUGUCUUUGUUUUGAGCUACCCCACAGCCCACGUUAGGAUGCAGUGUGUCACUUCCCAUGUGCACCUCAAGUGGUCAAAAGGAAAGCAG
rnacentral:lncRNA from 1 species